GAUGAAGAACGCAGCGAAAUGCGAUACGUUAUGUGAAUUGCAGAAUUCAGUGAAUCAUCGAGUCUUUGAACGCACAUUGCGCCCCCUGGUAUUCCGGGGGGCAUGCCUGUCCGAGCGUCAUUGCUGCCCUCAAGCACGGCUUGUGUGUUGGGCCUCCGUCCUCCUCCCGGGGGACGGGCCCGAAAGGCAGCGGCGGCACCGCGUCCGGUCCUCGAGCGUAUGGGGCUUCGUCACCCGCUCUUGUAGGCCCGGCCGGCGCUUGCCGACACAUCAAUCUUUUUUCCAGGUUGACCUCGGAUCAGGUAGGGAUACCCGCUGAACUUAAGCAUAUCAAUAAGCGGAGGA
rnacentral:misc_RNA from 1 species